GGGGAGAUGGCUGGGAGGGGACUGCAGCAGGGCAGCCUUGGCUGGGGGCUGCAGUGCCUGGGGGGCACUGCACAGCCAUGGCCUGGCUGCAGGGGUGUGCGGGGGGAUGCCAGCCUCCUGGGGCUCUGCACGGGGCCCUGGCUUUGCUCCUUGGGGUGUUUGUGGGACCUGGGAGAGCCACACGAGUCAGGAAGCACCCUAAAAGCUCCUGGUGCCUGUCCCGUGAGCCCUUCCCCUGCUUUCCGCCUGCACACAGCCAUGUGCCAAGAGGUGGCCUGACUGCAAAUGCACCAAGGGAGGUUAAAAAUCUGAAGGUCCUGUGCCUGGUGGCCUGAGACGUGGGCACACAAUAGGGUUCAUCCUUUGCUUUAGCAGAAGGGUGCAGCUGAGGGCCCUUGCAGGCAGCUGGAUCAUACCUGGUGGUAUCGAGGCAGGAAGCGAGCUGGCUUUUGCUUCCUGGAUCACGGCUACAAAAUCCAACAGCUGGCAGCAGGAAGCUGAGGGCAGGUGAUCACCGAUGGAGCAGAGCCCAGGCGGUGCACACUGGGGAUGGUGAGGGCUGCCACUACCCCACGGGCACCUGAGUGGAAAGAGGAGCAAGAUUUGCCCACCCAGCUGCUUCCCCAGCCUGUAGGAGUGAGCAGCCAGGUGGUCCAUUACAUCCAGGAGGCCCAGAGGAGGCGUUCUGCUGUGUGUGACACCAUGCGGGUGGCAGAGGACAGAGGGAUGGGGACAUGUCCCUGCCCCUGUGGAGUGGCUGUGCCCAAGGACAGCAGGACGAGGACACAUCCCUGCCCUGUGGGGGUGGCAGUGCCCCAGUUGCUGUCCCUCCACGAGCAGCUCCAAGCACCACAGCCCCUGCGUGCUGGGCAUGCAGCAGUCACAACCCAGCCCUGGCUUCUGCUGAGAUCCCUGGUGCUGCUUUUCUACAAAAAAAAAAAGAAAAACCCUUUGAAGCAGCUUGACCCCAUCCCAUGCAGAACCAAAGGCUGCUUUUCCCAUCCCCGAGAUGCUGGAAAGAUCUUGAGCAUCUUCCCAUGGCAGCUCUCCCUUUCUCCCCCUCCUUUCCCUGCUUGGACUCGCAGCCUGAGCAGCCUCCAGCCCUGUCCCUGCUCUCGCCCACGUCCCCCGGGAGCAGAGCGCCGUGUGCUCGCCCCGGUUCUGUUCCGCAUCAUGUGGCACAGCCCAUCAAACCGCGGCGAGAUGCUCCCGCUUAAUUUGUGUGCACAAACAAUCAGGGGGAAUCAAGAUGCCGCCCGCGAGAGCUGCACGCCGGUGACAGAGGCGCUGCCCGCGGGGGGAGGCCUCAGCUGCGCGGGGGUGCUGGGCCUAAUUGGUGCUGGCUGCUGCAGCUUGCUCGGGGUGUGAUUGAUGGGGAGCGGUGGCACAAACACUUCAGCCAAGGACACUGAACGGGAAAGCAAAACAUUUUAAAAGGGAGAGCGGCACGCACUUGUUGGGGGUAUAAUUAGCCGUGUUUGUCUUCAGGGCCUUGCGCUGAGCGAGGUGCAGCGCUGGGGAAAACAAGCUGGCAGGCUGAGUGCUCUGCAGAGCCUGGCCCCGCCGUCCUCACACCCCAGGAGCGGUACCAGGGCGCUCCCGAGGGGUCCUCGGGGCCCUGCUCUGCGUGGCCGGGCAGCCACCUGACGGGUGGCCUG
rnacentral:lncRNA from 1 species